AUUGAACGCUGGCGGCAUGCCUUACACAUGCAAGUCGAACGGCAGCACGGGGCAACCUGGUGGCGAGUGGCGAACGGGUGAGUAAUGCAUCGGAACGUACCUUUCAGUGGGGGAUAACGUAGCGAAAGUUACGCUAAUACCGCCUAUUCUGUGAGCAGGAAAGCAGGGGAUCGCAAGACCUUGCGCUGAUUGAGCGGCCGAUGUCAGAUUAGCUAGUUGGUGAGGUAAAGGCUCACCAAGGCGACGAUCUGUAGCGGGUCUGAGAGGAUGAUCCGCCACACUGGAACUGAGACACGGUCCAGACUCCUACGGGAGGCAGCAGUGGGGAAUUUUGGACAAUGGGGGCAACCCUGAUCCAGCCAUGCCGCGUGAGUGAAGAAGGCCUUCGGGUUGUAAAGCUCUUUCGGCCGGGAAGAAAUCGCACGGGCUAAUACCCUGUGUGGAUGACGGUACCGGAAUAAGAAGCACCGGUUAACUACGUGCCAGCCGCCGCAGUAAGAC
rnacentral:rRNA from 1 species